rnacentral:lncRNA from 10 species
AAAGGCAACACCGAAAGAAUUGCUGUGCAGCUACCCAGGGUGAUUGCUCUGAUGAAUGAGAUCAUUCCUCAUUGGAUUUUUAAGCUCUGGACUUAUAAGCGCUUAACAUAAACAACAACAAGAAAAGUAUCGUGGUAGCCUUGCCUAUGAGCCUGCAGUUUUUAAUUUGUCUGAGUCCUGGACCUCAGCCUAGAUGUAACCUUGCUCUGUUGCUGUCCUCUAGAGGCCUGGCACUGUGGACUCGGUGUUGUCUAGCAGAGAGGCCUUGAGGAAGUGGCCCAGCAGUGUGCUUGCGUUUCCAAGAUAUCUCAUCACCCAAAAGACUUCGAGAUAGACAAGCUUUGUUCCCUGCCAAAGUGACAAAUGUCAGCUUGCUGGAAAAGUUUGAACGAAGUGAGAGUGGUGGGAAGAUUAUGACCCCUGAAAGAUGAAAAGUCUGGCUACUAGAGAACAGAAUCAGAAAAAUGCUGCCUAUAAUCUUGGAGUUGCUGAAGCUAUAAGAAACCACAAGAAUGAGAAACCGGAAUUUUAUAAAUCCUUCCUAUUUGACAAACGGCCACUCAGUCCUGCGCUUAAUGCUCUUA